rnacentral:rRNA from 1 species
CUACGGGAGGCUGCAGUGGGGAAUAUUGGGCAAUGGGCGCAAGCCUGACCCAGCAACGCCGCGUGAGGGAAGAAUGUCUUCGGAUUGUAAACCUCUGUCCCAUGGGACGAACAAAUGACGGUACCAUGGGAGGAAGCUCCGGCUAACUACGUGCCAGCAGCCGCGGUAAUACGUAGGGAGCGAGCGUUGUCCGGAAUUACUGGGCGUAAAGGGUGCGUAGGCGGCAUAAUAAGUCAGAUGUGAAAUACCCGGGCUCAACUCGGGGGGUGCAUUUGAAACUAUUAAGCUUGAGUACAGGAGAGGAAAGCGGAAUUCCUAGUGUAGCGGUGAAAUGCGUAGAUAUUAGGAGGAACACCAGUGGCGAAGGCGGCUUUCUGGACUGUCACUGACGCUGAGGCACGAAAGCGUGGGGAGCAAACAGGAUUAGAUACCCUAGUAGUC